rnacentral:tRNA from 1 species
GCAGUAGUGGUUCAGUGGUAGAAUUCUCAUAUUCCAUGUGGGAAAUCUGGGUUUGAUUCCUAGCCAGAGCA